UACGUAGGUGGCAAGCGUUGUCCGGAUUUACUGGGCGUAAAGAGCGCGCAGGCGGUCGUUCAAGUCGCGUGUGAAAGCCCCCGGCUCAACUGGGGAGGGUCACGCGAUACUGAUCGACUCGAAGGCAGGAGAGGGUAGUGGAAUUCCCGGUGUAGUGGUGAAAUGCGUAGAUAUCGGGAGGAACACCAGUGGCGAAGGCGGCUCUCUGGGACGGUACUGACGCUGAGACGCGAAAGCGUGGGGAGCGAACGAG
rnacentral:rRNA from 1 species